ensembl:lncRNA
CUGACACGAGGUCCAGUGCAAAAGGGAUUUUCAGAUGAAAAUGAGGAAACUGACUACACAAUUUACAAUAAAUUGGCUUUAUGAAAUAGGAGCCAACUAUAUUGACCUUUGUAACAAGAAAUCUAGGAUUAGAAGGAAUGGCCUCAAGAUGUGCCUGGGGAGGUUCAGGUUGGAUAUUAGGAAAAAAUUCUUCUCUGAAAGAGUAGUCAGGCACUGGAAUGGGCUGCCCAGGGAGGUGUUUGAGUCACCAUCACUGGAGAUGCUUAAAUAAUUUACUAACAGAUGUGGUUUAGUGGUGAAAUAUUGGUGGUAGAUGGACAGUUGGACUGGAUGAUAUUGGAGGUCUUUUCCAACCUUAGUGAUUCUGUGUACUCAUUUUACACUGCCAGGUUCACCUGAUCCGCAUCAUGCUUGAUCUUAAAUAAUCAUCAUCAGCAUACUGAAGCAUUGUAUACAGAUAUGAUCAAAAAUCAUACAGGAAUUUCCCCCAGAUGAAAUUGGCUUUCUUGGCUUUUAAGAAUGACACUGAUGUUAGCAACUGGUUUCAGAUUUCUAUGUGGCAAGCAGAACACCCAG